rnacentral:rRNA from 1 species
GUGCAGCAGGCGAGAAACUUUACAAUGUGCGAAAGCACGAUAAGGGAACUCUGAGUGCCUCCUAAGGAGGCUGUUCUGAUGUCUAAAAGCAACAGAAGUAAGGGCUGGGUAAGACCGGUGCCAGCCGCCGCGGUAACACCGGCAGCCCAAGUGGUAGCCACGUUUAUUGGGUCUAAAGCGUUCGUAGCCGGCCAGGUAAGUUCCUUGGUAAAUUUAGCCGCUUAACGGUUAAGCUUUCAGGGAAUACUGCUUGGCUUGGGACUGGGAGAGGUCAGAGGUACUCCGGGGGUAGGGGUGAAAUCUAUUAAUCCCUGGGGGACCACCGGUAGCGAAGGCGUCUGACCAGACCAGGUCCGACGGUGAGGGACGAAGGCUAGGGGCGCGAACCGGAUUAGAUACCCCUGUAGU